UACUAGAGCUCAGGCGGCAUCACAUUCCGAACCUGGUCAGGUCUUGACGGAAGCAGCCAUAAGGUCUCCCUGAUGAGCGCCUGAGCAUUCUUUUGUCU
rnacentral:SRP_RNA from 1 species